GAACCACGUUAAUUCAAAUUGGCCCGUACCCUAAACCGACACAAGUGGGAAGGUAGAGUAUACCCAGGGGCGCGAGAUAACUCUCUCUAAGGAACUCGGCAAAAUGGCCCCGUAACUUCGGGAGAAGGGGUGCCACCGAGAGGUGGUCGCAGUGAAGAGUCCCAGGCGACUGUUUACCAAAAACACAGGUCUCCGCUAAGUCGCAAGACGAUGUAUGGGGGCUGACGCCUGCCCAGUGCCGGAAGGUUAAGGAAGUUGGUCAGGGAGCAAUCCUGAAGCUAGCGACUGAAGCCCCGGUGAACGGCGGCCGUAACUAUGACGGUCCUAAGGUAGCGAAAUUCCUUGUCGGGUAAGUUCCGACCCGCACGAAAGGCGUAACGAUCUGGGAGCUGUCUCGGAGAGAGGCUCGGCGAAAUAGGAAUGUCUGUGAAGAUACGGACUACCUGCACCCGGACAGAAAGACCCUAUGAAGCUUUACUGUAGCUUGGUAUUGGGUUCGGGCUUUGAUUGCGCAGGAUAGGUGGGAGACUAAGAAGUAGCUCUUGUGGGAGUUAUGGAGUCACUGGUGAGAUACCACUCUAUCAAGGCUAGAAUUCUAACUUUGACCCGUUAUCCGGGCAGAGAACAGUAUCAGGUGGGCAGUUUGACUGGGGCGGUCGCCUCCUAAAUGGUAACGGAGGCGCGCAAAGGUUCCCUCAGGCUGGUUGGAAAUCAGCCAUUGAGUGUAAAGGCAUAAGGGAGCUUGACUGCGAGACUGACAAGUCGAGCAGGUACGAAAGUAGUCCUUAGUGAUCCGACGGUUCCGCGUGGAAGGGCCGUCGCUCAACGGAUAAAAGUUACUCUAGGAUAACAGGCUGAUCUCCCCCAAGAGUUCACAUCGACGGGGAGGUUUGGCACCUCGAUGUCGGCUCAUCGCAACCUGGGGCUGUAGUCGGUCCCAAGGGUUGGGCUGUUCGCCCAUUAAAGCGGUACGUGAGCUGGGUUCAGAACGUCGUGAGACAGUUCGGUCCAUAUCCGGUGCAGGCGUAGGAACAUUGAGAGGAGUCUUCCUUAGUACGAGAGGACCGGGAAGAACGCACCGCUGGUGUACCUGUUAUCGUGCCAACGGUAAACGCAGGGUAGCCAAGUGCGGAGAGGAUAACCGCUGAAAGCAUCUAAGUGGGAAGCCCACCUCAAGAUGAGUGUUCCCAUGGCGUAAGCCAGUAAGGUCACGGGUAGACCACCCGUUAAUAGGCGCUAGAUGGAAGUCCAGCAAUGGAUGUAGUCGAGGCGUACUAACAGACCGAGGGCUUG
rnacentral:rRNA from 1 species